rnacentral:lncRNA from 1 species
GAAGAUGUAAAUCUAUUAUACUAAAAGAAAGUCCUACGAAUUUGAUAGCAUAAAAGAAUACCAGAAAAAUCAGUAAUCAUUAGAAGGGAAGAAAAGCAUGUUACUCAUAUUGUUUGGGAUUGUAUCCACAAAUCAAAGUAAAGUUUCUUAUGCUAAGACACCAGUGUUUUGUCUUUUUGCAAGUGUGUGCCUUUCUAGAAAGAAAGUGAGUGUACAUGCAUGCGUGUGUGAAUGCACGCCUGUGCUUGAUUGCUUUAACAUUCUUGACGGGCCAACAGUUAUUUGAACACUAUACAGACUUGGG